GGCCCAAUUCCCCGGGUGGAAUUUACAAGCGUUUUGCCUUCUCCUCCUGAUCUAACACCAGCUUAGAGAAUUUCUUCAAGCCAGCCUUUCUCUUUAACCCCUGCGGCUCCGGCAGACAGCAGCCCAGCCAUCCUUGCUAAGUUCCUGAGAUUCCCUCCAGGGUCUGGGCUUUUCUCCAGCACGUGGCUCCCUGCUACCAUCCGAGAAGUCCCUGAUGCUGAGGUCUCUGCUGACUUGCCCCGAAGGAUUGCCGACACACGGACAUUUAUGUCUUCCCCACAGGGAAAAACACCCCAUUAGAAGACAGAAGUUUGGUUCCCCCAUAGGAUCUCCAGGGAGCUGCAGUGACACCAGAGGAGGGCUACUGGAAAUGGCACCAGGACAUCGUAUUUGGUAAGACAGGAUCAGGGUAGACACCCAUUCUACAGAGGGAAAACUGAGGCUCUGGACAAAAAAAACCCAGAGGCUUGCCCCACUGGCUUCCCACAGGCUCUAGAUUCUUCCUUCUGUCUCAAUUUCUCAUGGGGCCAGUCAUUCAGCUCACCAGAUUCUCUAUCUGGGACACUGGAGGAUUGUCUGCCCCUGUGUGGUGGGUGCUCAGAGCUGGGGGAGCUCCCAGCCUCUCCAUGGGAAUUCUGGCACGUGCAGCGAAGAUGAUGAUGUGUAGCUGUGAUGUUGAUGAUGUGUGUUUGUUAACAGUUGGACGAUUGUCUACCUCACAAGACAAUAAAUGGCUGCCAGAGGCAGAAACGUCAAAGUC
rnacentral:lncRNA from 1 species